rnacentral:rRNA from 1 species
GUGCAGCAGGCGCGAAACUUUACAAUGUGCGAAAGCACGAUAAGGGAACUCUGAGUGCCUCCUAAGGAGGCUGUUCAGGUGUCUAAAAGCACCUGAAGGAAGGGCUGGGUAAGACCGGUGCCAGCCGCCGCGGUAACACCGGCAGCCCAAGUGGUAGCCACGUUUAUUGGGUCUAAAGCGUCCGUAGCCGGCGUGGGUAAGUUCCUUGGGAAAUUUGGCUGCUUAACAGUCAAGCUUUCAGGGAAUACUGCCCGGCUUGGGACCGGGAGAGGUCAGAGGUACUCCGAGGGGUAGGGGUGAAAUCCAUUAAUCCUUGGGGGACCACCGGUAGCGAAGGCGUCUGACCAGGACCGGGUCCGACGGUGAGGGACGAAGGCUAGGGGGCGCGAACCGG